UUUAACGGCCGCGGUAUUUAUAACCGUGCAAAGGUAGCAUAAUCAUUAGUCUUUUAAUUGAAGGCUUGUAUGAAUGGUUUGACAAGAGAAAUACUGUCUAUUUAAUAAAAAUUGAAUUUAACUUUUAGGUGAAAAGGCUUGAAUGAUUCAGAGGGACGAUAAGACCCUAUAAAGUUUUAUAAAAGAUGAUUUUUUUUUAAAGAUUUUAAAGAUUAAGAAUUUAUAUAUUUUAUUAAGUUGGGGAAACUAAGGUAUAAUUAUUAUAAUUGCUUAUAACUAAUACAAAAAUAUUUGAGUAAGAAUUAAGAGAUCCUUUAAUUUUUUUUUUUAGAGAUUUAAAGAUUAAAUUACUUUAGGGAUAACAGCGUUUUUUUUUUUGAGAGUUCUUAUUGAAAAAANAUUUUGCGACCUCGAUGUUGAAUUAAAAUUU
rnacentral:rRNA from 1 species